rnacentral:rRNA from 1 species
GUAGGUGGCAAGCGUUGUCCGGAAUUAUUGGGCGUAAAGCGCGCGCAGGUGGUUCUUUAAGUCUGAUGUGAAAGCCCCCGGGCUCAACCGGGGAGGGUCAUUGGAAACUGGGGAACUUGAGUGCAGGAGAGGAAAGUGGAAUUCCACGUGUAGCGGUGAAAUGCGUAGAUAUGUGGAGGAACACCAGUGGCGAAGGCGACUUUCUGGCCUGUAACUGACACUGAGGCGCGAAAGCGUGGGGAGCAAGCAGGAUUAGAUACCCUGGUAGUCCACGCCGUAAACGAUGAGUGCUAAGUGUUGGGGGGUUUCCGCCCCUCAGUGCUGCAGCUAACGCAUUAAGCACUCCGCCUGGGGAGUACGGUCGCAAGACUG